rnacentral:rRNA from 1 species
CCUACGGGGGGCAGCAGUGGGGAAUAUUGCACAAUGGGCGCAAGCCUGAUGCAGCCAUGCCGCGUGUGUGAAGAAGGCCUUCGGGUUGUAAAGCACUUUCAGCGGGGAGGAAGGCGUUAAGGUUAAUAACCUUGGCGAUUGACGUUACCCGCAGAAGAAGCACCGGCUAACUCCGUGCCAGCAGCCGCGGUAAUACGGAGGGUGCAAGCGUUAAUCGGAAUUACUGGGCGUAAAGCGCACGCAGGCGGUCUGUCAAGUCGGAUGUGAAAUCCCCGGGCUCAACCUGGGAACUGCAUUCGAAACUGGCAGGCUAGAGUCUGGUAGAGGGGGGUGGAAUUCCCGGUGUAGCGGUGAAAUGCGUAGAGAUCUGGAGGAAUACCGGUGGUGAAGGCGGCCCCCUGGACAAAGACUGACGCUCAGGUGCGAAAGCGUGGGGAGCAAACAGGAUUAGAUACCCUAGUAGUC